GACACAAUGCUCCGAGUGGUUAAGGGGCGAGACUUGAAUGGAUUACAUAAUCCAAGAAAUCUCGUGACGUCAGUCGCGCAGGUUCGAACCCUGCUUGUGUCG
rfam:Cryptococcus amylolentus CBS 6039 supercont1.2, whole genome shotgun sequence.